UGUACGAGAAAAUAGAUCUGCUUCUGCCCGCGGGCGAUCAAGUUGAGGACAAAAAAACAUGUUUGCGAAUCGGCUACAAGUUGGACAAAAAAAGCGAUAAUUCUCAGCUAUAAUUGUAAGUUGACGUCGAUAAAACGGCUGAUGUAAUCCAAGUGCGAUUUCAAUGUUUCUUCUUUUACGUAAUUAGAAGCUGUAAUUAGCGUCCGGCUGGCGUUGGCAGUUCUUCCAUCACGCGCACGUUCGAUAAACGGUAGCCAGUUUUCUGUCAACGGGUGGUCUUCCUCGGCUCAAAAAUUGGGGGGGGGGGGGUUGGGGGGAAAGGAGGGGGCAUGUCACGCUCGUGCUAGCUGCUUGCUUGGCUUAAGAGUUUCAUAAGUCCUCGUCUGAAAACUGUAUAAUACCGCACCGAGCUGUAACUAUCAGGGGUGCGCAUGGGAACUGAGGGCCAUAUGGUACAGUCCGUAUCGCAUUGCUCCGCUUCGCGUUUUCCCUAAAUACACAGGUAUGCACGGAGCCUGGGUGCGUGUUUCUCUCCGCUACAUGAAAUUCAACUGCGUACACAACGAAGAAUUUUACCCGAUGGUUUUUACGGACACAAUUUCGCGACGACUCGGUCUGCGAAAAAGUCGAGGCGAGAAACCGAGAGGAAUCGGUCCGUUAUUUUUCGAGCCCGGGAUCAGCUGCGUUUCCCUUGAUCUUUGGAUUUUUAUUUUUUACCGUCACGCGCCACACGACGAUCCUGUUGCCCGAGGCCGCUGCGAAGAUGGCGAAGGAAGUUCCCGGCGAGGAAUGAAUAGACGCUCUACGAAUGCGUGGAAUAAUUAGAAAACGCCGCGGUAGACGUUGCUUAGUCGUCCAGGAAGUUCAGUGUUAUGAAAAUGAUAAAUUUGUCGGUUAAAAUUCAUUUCCAACGAUCUCUUCAUCGGCGGGGAUCGUUGGGCGAGCGCGUAGCGUACGGCGAUAGCUGAGAAGGAAGGCGUGUUUCUGGCUCGUUGGUGACAAGUUGCCGCACCGGCAGCAGAUCAGAAAUCAGAGCUCUUCUCGCCAUUGAAAUUCUCUAACCCUCGAGACCUAACGAGUCUCGAAGACGUUCGCCCGAAUAUCAAGGGCGUGACGCAGAAGACGUGCACACGUCUUACAAACGUCUUGCGAACCGAGGUUUAUGUAAGGGGUAUAUAACCUUUUUUUCUCAUUCUCAUACUCCGAGGUACCCACCUUACCUUAUAUUACAAGAUAUUGCGUUCGAAUCUGGGCGUGGACAUCCGGCUUCAAAUUUCUCGACGUUCGUAGAGAACUAAAGGACUAGAAAACGGUGGGAACGUUUUUUCGUCAGUCUUCGAGACUCGAAUCCGUACACGUCUCGUCACGUAUAACGAAUAAAAUGAGACUUCGAAAACUGAAUCUCACCGUACACGCGGUAACGAGAUCAAAAUUGUUCCGAUUUGAUUUUUCCGUUCGAAGAGUUGCGAGAAGCCGAAAGGGUUGGAAAAAAAAAUCAUUUCCUACAGCCGUCCGUUUGAGGGAAUCUGGAGUAGGUCCGUAAUGAACGGUCUUUAAUUGUCGGAGAGAAAGGUAUCGGAGAAAAUGAAAAGAAAAAAAAAAAAUACAGCCCCGUCCGUCGAUUAUCUCCGGCUUCUCUGGUGGGGGAUGGAGUCCAGAAAGGACGGUGCAGGAGCCUCGUACGACACGUAGGAGGAUCCUUCGGUGGUUGCCUCUUGAUGCGGAUGGCACUGGCCCCAGUGAAUGCCCGCCCAGAAAAAGGCACAGCAGCCAGUGACGUAACAUGAGACCGCUGUCAGUGCUGUCAGUCCACUCGCUUUGUGCCUCCUCGAGGCAUACGAAGGGUAGGAGAAUAGUGGGAGGAAGAGAGGGAGGAUAAAAGAGAGGAGAAGAAGAAGAAAAAGUAGAUUCGGCAGAAGGCGGAGAAGAGAUUUCCACCUACCGCGAGUAUAGUGGUAUAGUAAUGUACGCAUGUAUAACGUGCACUGCACCAGAUGUGUGUGUGUGUGUGUGUUAGCGCAAGAAUUGUACGGUAUAGGUAUGUACGUACAUAAUAAGGCAAAGCGACCCGCACCGUGCGUACCGGUGAAGUUUGCCUCGGCUAAGGUCUUCUCAAAUUUCCUUAUUACCAGCGAACUCCCAUUAUACUGUACGGUUAGCAGCAUCUCUCCCGGGCGCGGAUUCGCCUUUUGACGUAGUGCUUUUUUCGUUUGAAUCGCGAUCGCUCAUUCAAUGGUAUUAUAAAGUAUAUACGACGUGCCCAUCUCCUCCCUCUCCUCUGCCUACCCUUACCCCAAUACCAACAAAGCACUUCCGGAUACGUAUAGUAUUACCGGAGCAGGUAGUUGUCUCGACUCGCGUGUGACUCGAUAGUUGCAUAGCGCGUAUGUACACACGAAUACAUGCCCCCGUGAAUUUACGCGGAGAUUUUCACCGUUGAUUAGAAAUAUUACCUGGCUCGAUGUUCGUCCGUUUCAAUUACGAUUCGUACCGCGAAUUCGACAAAAUUAGUGACGAAGAAAAAUUAAUUUUCCAACCCCAUUGACUGCAGUCAUUCUAUUUUCUUUCUUUAAUUUUAUUAGCUCUCGAGAGAUAAAUUUACCCACAGAAAUCAAAAAUUGGAAUGGGAAAAAGUGGGUUACAAUUCUCUGCUUCCAUUGGUAUCAUCGAUUGAGCAUGUAACGGCGAAGAAGUUUUCGUCAGAAAUAAGAAGUGGAAAAAGAGACACAAGAAACGAAAAAAAAAAGUAAUGAAAUGAUUACACUCGGUGAGGGGUUGUAAAAUUUAUGCGGUGCUUUUGUAACCCAUAAGAACAAUGGGGUGGUGGUGUAGACCGUGCGAUUGUCUCGAAGUUACUCGACCCGAUUUCCUGUCCACUUCGCGCCCGUUUCUUGUAUAUAUAGAUGUACAUUCAUCGAACCUUGUCUCUGUGUCGUUUCGAAGUUGUUAAUUGUAAAAUUUUACUACUAUGUCCGGUUUUUACCUGUUCGUAAGGAUUACAGUUCGCCCAGCGCCCCGCAUUGUCUAUUUUACGACCGCAAUCAACGCUGGUCAAAACCAUUGUACGGUGUUCCGAUAUCCUUCGUACGUAACGUUCGACUCGAUCGAAUAUCCGCGAAAAAAUUUCCACCCUCCAACGUGCGUCGAUAUCAAAGAAUGUGUAGUUUUGCGGUAUUUACACGCGUCGCAAGCGGAUUCUAAACCAAAAACCUCGAUCGCGUCGAACAAUCGCGGAAAAGGAGGGUGGCAAUUAUUCCGUGGCGAUUGUAUAUUUCCUCAGGUAAUCAUCGCCGCAAUGAAAAGGGGACGACGGUGUUUGUUCAACCACCUUUCUCGAGACGGUCUUGACCUCAGCGGUAAUUUAUAGAAGUUGUAUACAGACCGAUAUUUCGGCGAAAUGCGAUCGUUCGGGGUCGAUGCCAGUAGCCGCCUCGUAUCUCACUCCCUUUCGAACCCGCCGCUCAUUUCAAUGGCUCGAAUACAAUCGAUCGGUGGACAUAAAGAUGUAUUUACGCGGUCAAACAGGGCACGCGCCCGCCGUGUAAAUUUUCAGCAAACUAAUCUGAAUUUUUCGACGCGGAUGCGCCCACGAAAUUGGGUAAAUCGACGCAAGUAUAUGAUAUCGAAAAAUGUACAUAAGGUUCUUAAUUUUUCUAGUUAUCGUGGACAAGAAAUUACACCGAUUACGUAACGAGGAUAAUUUGACAAGUUAUUACCGUAACACGCGUGUAGAAUUUUUUUCUUUUUUUUUUCAUCGUGUCAGCAGACAAGGGCGGAUUUGCAGAUUAGGUGAACAGUAGGUGCAGUAUACCUGCGCUGGAGAUCGUACGGGUGUGAAACGGAAAUCGAUGGAAAAAAAAUGCGCUGCUGCGGGGAUGUGGAUAUUUAUAGAAAUUAUCCAGCUUAAGGUUGGAAAAAGAUGGUGAAAAUUAAGAGAGAAAAAAAAAGCGAGAAGAAAAAAAAAAAGUGUACGUCCACCACUGCUGACGAUUGUAAGCCUCGGUCUCGCCAUCCUGUCAUAAAACUGGCGCCAAUCGAAUUAUAUGGAAUUCCCGUGUAAUAUUUUCGUUAUUCCGUCGACUCCGAGUAAUAUUAUCAGCGUGUUAAUGGUACGAUUAACGAAAUUCACAGGUAGUUACAAGUCCGAGUUUUAACGACCUGCAAAAAAUCACAAAAGAAUCACACCUGUAAUCUUUCUGAGUCGCACGGCGCGGCAGUAGAAAAAUAUUCACCUGCGUAUCCUUGCGGCUGGCGAUCACUUAUCGCCAAAAUAAUUCUAAUCCAUCGUCUUUGAAAACGAAAAAGAAAAGAAAAAAAUGGACACGCCGAUAUUAUACAGGGUCUUGAUGAAUAAUCGUGCCAAGUUCAAGCGGGAGAUGAAGUGCACUGACAAAACAAGUAAUCUGAAAUGAGCAAUCCAUAUGUCCGGAAAUGUCGCCUUCAAUUUUAAGUUGGAGUCCAUUAAUUCUCAAGUUUUCAAUUAAUACAGAUAAUCGCCGUAAUUGACGAUCAUCGGGCGAUUGACCUGCGACCUUCGAUGCCCCGAGGCGCCUGAACGCGACGUUUUUCGGACAUUGGCUGCUUAUCUCAGAUUACUUGUUUCAGUACACUUUAUCACCCCCUCGAGUUUGGCAAAAUUAUUUAUCAGCACCCUGUAGUCUGCUUUAGAAAUCUUGACUCCGGAUAAAAAAAAAAUUAUACUCUCACAGUUAUUCGAUGAAAUUUUCAGAGUAAUUAUUAUUCAAUCUUGACAAAAAAAAUGGUAUCAUUCGACGGUGGGAAUAACGCGGUUAAAAAUCGACGAGUAUCGAUACGGGAAAGACGAUACCUGUGGACCUGUGGUAUGGGUGUCAUCUUGGCGAUGUACAAACAUACGAAUAACGACAGCCGGUGUGGUUUCGGUGGUGUGGAAAAGUGAUUCAUACGGGCUUCCGAGUCUAAUGCGAAAGAGCCCCCCCGCGUACCACCUCCCUGCCGCUGUUGCAGCGCGACGGUAGCCAACGCUAGGUGAAAGACACGUGUUCUCUCUAUGGGAAAUUUCACACGGCGUAACAACCGAGAGACCGCGAUCGUUCCUCUUCCUUUUUUCUUUUUUUUUUUUUUCUUCUCUUCUCUUCUCUUCUUGCCCCAACUCUCCACGCCGGUUCUAAUCUAAUCAUACGCGAACGCCGGCGCGGUGACGUAUGGCUAUAGGUGGCGAGGUCCCCGUAACCGUGAGGAUACUUCUUUCAUCUGAAAACGGUUUCGCGUCGAAGCUCGGAUUCUCAGACGUUCCGCAGGACUCCUCCGCUCGAUUACCACCUCGCCUACGCCGACGACGUCGCGACGAUUCUCUUGUCAAUAUACGACUCUUUCGUUACCCGCUGAGAAUUCCAUUAUCGAGAUAUACGAUUUAUAACGCCACGGCUGUACCACACUUACCUGCACAACGUUGUCGCAGAUGUGCUUUUUGAUCGACUAACAAGAACCGCAUCAACGGAAUAUGUGCUAUAUUUGCGCGCGGAUUCCGAACGCAGAACUUAUUUUUUUUUUCUUUCACAUUCCUUUAUCGAGGAAUCGGAUCGAGAAGGGCGCGAUCCACGAGGAAGUUGAAACGCUGCCGUGCGAACGUUGCUCCGUGGGGCGAAAAAUCUGGUUUCGAUUAGGAUUUUGCAUGUACGAAAAUUUGUCGGUUUCGAAAAAUUGAAAAAAAUGCAUCCAGCCGAAACGGUGGUACGUAGGUACAUACAUUUGAAAACCAGGUGUCGAAGAGCCAUUAGAUUUGUAGGGGGGUUGUUGAGGCAACGCCCACUGGCCUGUGAAAAGGCCACCCCCGCAUGCGUAUUAUACGUUUGGUUUCGGUUGCCCUUCUGCCAGCCGGUCGGAAAACAUCCCGUGAAUCGACGACUUACGUGAACUUUUACGUACAUAAUAGCUGUAAUAUAUGGUGUACAUAUGAAAGUGUAUACGUGCAUCGGAUACAUCGGGUACACGAAAACAAUUACAUUCGUGCAUUAUAGGGAUUUUUAUCAUCUUCUUUGGAUCGCCUCAAAUUAGAUCAAGCGCCAUUUUGUCGAUAACUCGAAUCUGAUGACUCUGUUCGCCUUUAGGAAUUUUCAUUUUUCGUCGAGACCGCAUCCCAAAAAAAAAAAAAAAAUAAAAAUCACCACGCCUCGCGUAAUUCUCACGCAUAAUUCGAAUACUCGAGAUUCGGAAGCAGGAAAAAGUUGCGAUUCUAUAAAAGCACAUACGUAUAAUUGUACGGGGGGGGAAAUAAUUUUCUCACAAUGUUGUAUAUCAGGGAGCGUGUGUAUAGCUGUUACAUAUACUAAAUUUGUGAAACACUUGUCGAGAACCCUGGAGAAAUUAUCGGGGCAAAAGUAGUUAUAAAUCGGCUGACAAUGGCGCAGCGGGUGUUCGCGAUAUAAAUAUUUGUCUCGUAAGAGCAACCGAGAAUCGGAGAGGGGAGGGUUGGCCGGGCGCGAUACAAGAGCACGAGAGAAAGAAGAGAACCUGCGCUCGUCGCCAGGGUGAAAAAGAGAGACGAAACAAUAAAAGGGACGAGGCAUCGUCGCAGGGGCAUUUUUUUAAGGGAGUUGCGUACCUCGAGUAUUACACAUACAGUCGUGUCCAAAUUAGGUGAGGGACGAGAAAAUUCUUCGCUGAGGGACGAAAAAAAUGAAUAAAUUAUUCGAGCCGCUGUAAACGACGAUUUCGAUCGAAAAAACAAAGAAAAAGUCAAUCAAAUGAUCGGCAUGAAUUAUUUUUGUGUAAAAAUUUUCCGCACAGCCGAAGGUUUCCUUCAUUUAUUUUCUUACGUUUUUUCUCCGAUGGAAUUUUAUCAAAUCCGUGGACUCGGAAGACGAUGACGAGACGGUGUGUCUCAAUUUUUUGGAAAAUCCGUCAACAGUUUUUUCGUUGAUUUGAGAACGACUGUACGAAAAUAUAAUACGGAGGUGCGUUUUUCGUCCCGCUAAACACGUUCGCUUACGCGGGUGUGCGUGUAAGAAGUCCGUCAUCUAUUCUUGAAGUGAAGAAGGCCCUACUUUUUUGAAAGGUACUCGAAAGACAAAACAUGAUCGCGGCGGGCAACGUCAGCCCGCAUAUAUCUUCGUCUUUUAUAAGUUGUGGGAAAGUAUUCUACCCAAGGCAUGCCCCAUACACGCCGCAUAUGGUGUGUACGUACGCACAUAAUACAUUUAUUUAUAUACGUGUGCACCUAACUUGGAAAUAAAAGAAUUACAAGUACGCGUGCAUAAGGUUUUUUUUUUUUUUUUUUGGAAUUGGCCCCAAAAUUUAAGGUACCUUCGAAGUUUUUACGUCCAAAGCGUACCGCGGCCGUUGAGUAUUUUAUUCUCAAAUCCGCGACGAUCCACAUCUGUUGGUCUUGAAAUCAAUUUUUUGAAUUCAACGGAAAUCCGAUCCUCGGUGAACUGACCAGGUGCACGGGAUGUUUUACGCCAAACGUCGCGUUGUUCGUCUCGAUCAAUUUGACCUCAAUAGUUGAAAAUUGUGAUACGCGAGGAUUCUACUUUUCCGCGUGCGUUUACCUUCUAAUUUCAAACCCCUACCUGUGCCCCGUGACUCAUAAUAUCACUCCUGGAUUGCCAGGAAAAAAAAAUGCUAAGGAAAAGAAAACAAGCUAAGCCGUAAAACCCGGUGUCUCCAUGUUUUACUGUAGAUGCAAUAAUAUUUCCGCAGGUUGAAUAAGAAGCGGGGAAUCCCCGAGAAAACGUCGUCGUUCAAAAUCGCCGUGGGCUUAUACUCGCAAAUACGAAUACAGGCAUAAAUGUAUUACCGCUGGGUGCUUUUACCCGUAGAUACGGACGCUUACGGUUACACCGGUUGUUGCGCCGCACGGGGUGAGGAAUAUACGUAUAUAUAUAUAUAACCUAAUGGCGGUGGGUGGUUCGUUUCACUUGACAGCGAGCGACGGAUCACUUAACGUGAUUACGUCACGACACCGGUACGUAAGGUACUGUAAAUGUUUGCCCUCCGUGAAGAGGGG